rnacentral:misc_RNA from 1 species
ACGAAUGAAGUUGAGCGGGGUUGCUGCUGGCCUCCGGGCAUGUGCACGCCUCGUUCGUCCAACCUUCUACACCACUGUGCACUUUCUCAUGGGUCGGGUUCUGCGCCUUCAAUGGCUGCGUCCCUGCCUGUGUGUCUACACAUACACAUGUUUGUUAUAGAAUGUCUACUGUGCAUGAAUGCAUAUAAUA